rnacentral:lncRNA from 1 species
CGGAGGGUAUGUUUUAAAAAACAGGCAUGAUGAAGUAAAAGGAGAACUGGUUGCUAGAAUAUCUGGGUCCUACUCCUGGGAAGCAGCUGUAAAGAGCGCUGUCAGAUCGCGUUUGAAUGCCAGCUUUGCCAUUUGCCGAGUUUCUGAGCAUUUUAGUCAACCACCUACCACUCCUACUCAGUUUCCCUACUUGGGAAGUCAGAGCAACACUCAUUUAAGGAAGAGGAUGUGUGGAUGAAAUGAGCUACUAAAUAAGUCUUUAUAUAAUAGUUUUCUUUUCCUCAGCUUUUCAGGUCACUGAUUUCAAGACUUUGGGCCUGUUUCUCGCCUGUAGAAUGAGAGAACUUCACUUUAAUACUGGGGUUAAAUAACUCGUUACUACGGGACCCAAAGCGGACAACCAAGGCAUGUUUUACAGAGAAGCGAUUACAACGAGGAAACGAGGUUUGCAAAAAUAAGUAAUUUCAGAAGAGAAGGAAACCAGCAGAUUAGUUUUGUCUGCGUCCGUCACGUCUGAGUAAACUAAGAAAUCUGAAGGUAGAUGUGGGAGUGGUGUUUAUAAUUUCCCUUACGUAAGCACGGCUAGAACGGAGGCGACGGGCACUGGAAUUCAGAACUCAGCAUUUGAAAACACUGUUUCCGUGCCAUAAAAGAGCGCCAAAAUGGGGCUACAACGGCUAAAGAAUUUCCAAAAAGUUCCUUGUGCAAAAUAAAAGAGUCGGGAGCGCAGUGAUCGGAGGCUUUCCGUCCUUUUUCAUCCCCCGUUAUCCAGGCGGGGUCCCUCCCUCCAGCUACGGACUUGGGAGCCCAUGACUGCGAACCCGCACACCUUUUCCAGCCUCCCUACGAAGCAGACAGGCUUGUCGAUGAACUGAGCUAGCAUGCCGGCGUUGAUGCGCGACCUGGGCAAGUCCAUCAUGUCCACCAUGAUUAUGGUCCAAGACUGCGGCUGGCGGGAAACCCACGGACGACUGAAACUGUGCGCCCCGCGGGUGUCUAUGGGGCAGAUUCCUCGGCACCAAUCAGCGAAGACUAGCGCUCCAGCUUCGCCAAUUAAAUGCGCGGAAACCUAAAUCGCAAGGGGUGGAGAAGGGGCUGGAUGAGUCCGGAAGUGGAGAUUGGCUGCUUAGUGACGCGCGGCGUCCCGGAAGUUGACAGAUACAGCGCGAGAGGCAGUGGAGGCGGGACUUGGAUAGGGGCGGAACCUGAGACUACCUUUCUGCGAUCACAGGAUUCCCGGCGGUGACUUGACCCCGGAAGUGGGGUGUGAAGCUCCGGUGCUGGUGCGGCGGGGGACUGCGGCGCCAGCCUCAGUUUAAACCCCCUCAGCAGUCUUUCUGUCGUUGCCCUCCACACUGCGAGACUCUGGAGGGCGAUCUGGAGGUCUGGAAGACAACCGAUUCCUGGGAGAUUUGGGGGUAGUCUCCAAUCUGUCCCUGGCUCAUCUUGUGACCCGAAGCCGGCGGCCUUGCCAGGAAUAUUCUAGAAUGAGUGCACAUAAAAAUACCUUCAAACGGUACGGUGGAAAUUGGACAGAAGUUUUAAUUGGGUAUUAUAACGUUGUGGAAACUGAGUCUGUGAAUUGGCCCAAAGCUACAGAAUUGUCAUCGUUCAAAUUCCCUUAAGCAAAAAAGAUCCAUUUUGAGACU